rnacentral:misc_RNA from 1 species
UGGUUCCGGCAUNGAUGAAGAACGCAGCGAAUUGCGAUAAGUAAUGCGAAUUGCAGAAUCCAGCGAGCCAUCGAAUCUUUGAACGCACAUUGCGCCCGCCGGUAUUCCGGCGGGCAUGCCUGUCCGAGCGUCAUUACGCCGCCCGAGCACCGCUCGGUGUUGGGACACUGCCGCGCCCCGGCAGGUCCCUAAGUCCAGUGGCAGGCCCCCCCGAGGCCCCGAGCGCAGUAGUCAUCUCCUCGCCCAGGGUGCCCGGAGGGGUCUCGCCCCCAAGCCUAUAGAACAUCAGGUUGACCUCGGAUCAGGUAGGAAUACCCGCUGA